rnacentral:rRNA from 1 species
AGGGCAAGUCUGGUGCCAGCAGCCGCGGUAAUUCCAGCUCCAAUAGCGUAUAUUAAAGUUGUUGCAGUUAAAAAGCUCGUAGUUGAAUUUCGGGGUCAGCAGGUUGGUCGUGCCAAUGGUAUGCACUGGCCUUGCUAAUUCCUCCCUCUUGAUGAGCCGUAAUGCCAUUAAUUUGGUGUUGUGGGGAAUCAGGACUGUUACUUUGAAAAAAUUAGAGUGUUUAAAGCAGGCAAGCGCUUGAAUACAUUAGCAUGGAAUAAUGAAAUAGGACGUUCGAUCCUAUUUUGUUGGUUUCUAGGAUUGACGUAAUGAUUAAUAGGGAUAGUUGGGGGCAUUAGUAUUCAAUUGUCAGAGGUGAAAUUCUUGGAUUUAUUGAAGACUAACUACUGCGAAAGCAUUUGCCAAGGAUGUUUUCAUUAAUCAAGAACGAAAGUUAGGGGAUCGAAGACGAUCAGAUACCGUCGUAGUCUUAACCAUAAACUAUGCCGACUAGGGAUCGGAUGAUGUUAAUUUUUUAAUGACUCAUUCGGCGCCUUACGGGAA